rfam:Bacteroides pectinophilus CAG:437 genomic scaffold, scf18
GCGCUAAUAGCUCAAUUGGAUAGAGCGUUCGGCUACGGACCGAAAGGUUGGGGGUUCGAGUCCCUUUUGGCGCA